GAUGAACGCUGGCGGCGUGCCUAAUACAUGCAAGUCGAGCGAACAGACGAGGAGCUUGCUCCUCUAACGUUAGCGGCGGACGGGUGAGUAACACGUGGAUAACCUACCUAUAAGACUGGGAUAACUUCGGGAAACCGGAGCUAAUACCGGAUAAUAUAUUGAACCGCAUGGUUCAAUAGUGAAAGACGGUUUUGCUGUCACUUAUAGAUGGAUCCCCGCCGCAUUAGCUAGUUGGUAAGGUAACAGCUUACCAAGGCAACGAUGCGUAGCCGACCUGAGAGGGUGAUCGGCCACACUGGAACUGAGACACGGUCCAGACUCCUACGGGAGGCAGCAGUAGGGAAUCUUCCGCAAUGGGCGAAAGCCUGACGGAGCAACGCCGCGUGAGUGAUGAAGGUCUUCGGAUCGUAAAACUCUGUUAUUAGGGAAGAACAAAUGUGUAAGUAACUAUGCACGUCUUGACGGUACCUAAUCAGAAAGCCACGGCUAACUACGUG
rnacentral:rRNA from 1 species